rnacentral:rRNA from 1 species
UACCGAGGGGGCAAGCGUUGUUCGGAAUUACUGGGCGUAAAGGGCGCGUAGGCGGCCUUCUAAGUCGAACGUGAAAUCCCCGGGCUCAACCCGGGAACUGCGUCCGAUACUGGAAGGCUUGAAUCCGGGAGAGGGAUGCGGAAUUCCAGGUGUAGCGGUGAAAUGCGUAGAUAUCUGGAGGAACACCGGUGGCGAAGGCGGCAUCCUGGACCGGCAUUGACGCUGAGGCGCGAAAGCCAGGGGAGCAAAGCGGG